UACGGGGGGGGCAAGCGUUGUCCGGAAUUACUGGGCGUAAAGGGCUCGUAGGCGGCCAACUAAGUCAGACGUGAAAUCCCUCGGCUUAACCGGGGAACUGCCUCUGAUACUGGAUGGCUUGAGAUUGGGAGAGGGAUGCGGAAUUCCAGGUGUAGCGGUGAAAUGCGUAGAUAUCUGGAGGAACACCGGUGGCGAAGGCGGCAUCCUGGACCAACACUGACGCUGAGGAGCGAAAGCCAGGGGAGCAAACGGG
rnacentral:rRNA from 1 species